GACACCCUAAAAAACACCGGACUUGUCAAGAAUCGCAUUGUAAAACCGUUUUCUUCUCCUUAAUCGCAAAUAAUUGUUGAAUCUUGUUGCAGGUUUUCAUGAAAGCUUGGUUUAGGAUUUGAUUGGUGCUCAUAAUGUCAGAUAACCGGCGAACCAUUUCAUUCAUUUGUGUCUAAAACUGCCGGUUCCAUUUUUCUACCCACAACCUGUUUGAUAAAAUGUCUCUUUGAGAAUAAAACAGUUACACUGUUUGUUUGCAUGCAGUUACAAGAGUUGUUUUCUUUCAUCAUUGCCACUUUUUCACCAUAAUUUACUGUCCUGUGCUCGCUGCGUUGCAUUUUACUUUUGUGUCUAGGAAUAUAUGUUUCUCCUAUUAUGCCCUAUGAUGAAAUAUAAUUAAUAUUGUGUUCUUGUUUUGCAGCUCAAAGUUGACAAGAUUAUGCUCAUUCAACUCUGAUACAUCUGAAUCUGAAUUAUCUAGUUUGAAUGAUAUAAAUAUGCAAUCAAGUCAGUGUCUGAUGUUUGAUGAUGGUUUUAUUAGUUUAAGGAGCAGUGUUAGUGUUUCUAAAUUGGUUGGUAAUGGCUACUGCAGUUCUCUUAAAAAGAUGGAGGGAAAAACCUUUAUUCGAUAACGAUACAUCAAUAGUAGUCCUCAACUGGAUGAAGUUGCUGACGCAAAGAUACUUGUGAAAGUAAAGGUCUGAAUUUUGAAAAGUUAAAAUCACAUAUAAUAAUUCACCUUAUUUUUAAGUUUUCACUGUUAUGUAGGGGAUGAAAGUGAGUUGCAGUUGCGUGUUAUAAUAUGUGAUGAAAAUAUGAAAUUGAUGCUAUUUGUAUGGUAUGGUUUUUCUCAACAUUAGAUCAACAUCAACCAUCUAUUCUGUUGUGAUUGUCAAUUUGUUGGUGACAGUUAGUAAGUAAGCAGUGCUUAGUUAGCCUUAACCGGUGGAAUCUUUAUAUUUUGGUUGCGGUUUAAACUUUCUUUUUGGUGGGUUCAUUUUCUGUUCACAUUUUGUAGAAAUUUGGUUGUAAUUUUUAUUUCUUUUUGGGAACAUGAUGAAAUUUCAAUUUGGGGACUUGAAAAUAUUGAAUGCUGUUCUGAGUAAUCAUGGGUAGGGGAGAAGUAGAUUCUCUGAUAUUGGUAUACAAGUUGCCAAAAUGUUUGCGUUCUAAUUGAUUUCAUUUACUCUCUUUGUGUCCUUGCUUUGUUCUUGUCUUUCAUUAGUGCAGUAGAUCAAUACUAAACACAGUAAGUUUGGGACAUAAAUUUCACUUUGAAAAAGUUACGGACAAAUCAAUUUUCCCUGUUCUAUUGGUAUGAGUAACAACUUGCAUAAUUGAAAUUUCACUUGUCACUUCCUUAUUCAUUGAAAAUUUGUUAGAGAAAAAGUUAUGAAAGUUACCAGAUGGUUCAUCAUGUUUCAAAUAUUUGUUCUAUUGAAAACAUGCAUCUUUUAUGGAAACCCUAACUAUGCAAUGGCUUCAACACUUACUGGUUAAUGUACACAACUUCUGACCCAUCUCAGAGAUCCAAGGUUGAGCUGGUUUUCGUGAAGCAACCGGCCACAACCUGGUUUCAAUAAUGUGCAAAAGUUUAAGGGGUUAGAUUUCGCAAUAUCUGAGGCAAGACGACGGUACAAUAUUAAGCUCAUAUUGAGCUCGGUGAACAACUGUGAUAGUUUUGGAGGGAAGAAGCAAUAUGUGAACGAGGCUAGAAGCCAAGGGAAGUACCUCAGUCACAUCAGAUGAUGAUUUCUUUAGGAACUCUGUUGUGAAGGGUUUCUACACAAACCAUGUCAAGGUUAGUACAAACAUAGUUUUACAUUUGCAUGUGUUUUUUACUGUUUGUCAAAUAUGUUUGGUUGUAUUUUUCAUUUGCGAAAUCAAGAUUCUUAUAAUGGCUAUUGUAGUUAAUUCAUCCAAGGAAUACUAAACACCAUGUUCAAUUCUUCAACCCUCGGAUACUAAACAAAUUCCAUCACAAAUUUCCCAUUUUGUAAUUUAUAGCCAAGGUUAUAAUAAUUUACUAAUUCUCCAAUAUGAAUUAUAUAAAUGUAAAUAGCUAGAAACAUUUCUAGUACAAAUAGCAAUUGAGUUUAUUGUCCUCAUGCACAAUUUUGUUUAUCUCAUGCAUGUCAGGAUAUACUAGACAGAUAAAACACAGGUUCAUAAUAGUAAAAACAUUAGCUAUUUCACAAACUAUGUAUGCCCGGAUAACCUAUUUAUCCCUCGUUGGAAGCUGAAGACUUGUGAUUUCAUUCUCUGAAUAUCCUAUCUUGCAUCUAACUGUGUAAUGGAUAUUUCAUUAGAUGAGCAGAAUUUGUGAGUUGCGAGUGAAGAAUCUGAUUCGGUAGUUAAAUCCUUUUCAGUGUAAAAGCCAGGAACCUUUGGCUCUGGCAAUAGUUGCUGACCAUUUAUCAUUAGAACCACAGAUGACAUGUCUGGUCUAUCUUCUGGUCUUUGUUGCACACAUAACAAGCCCACCUGUAUACUUCGUAUGACUUCAAAUGCUGUAUAUUGUUCCCGUAACACUUCAUCCAAUAGUUCCAGGGCUCUCUCUUCCGUCCAUAAUCUCCAUGCCUAAUAAAGUGAAAGUUAAACCAGUGAUAUGAAACAAUUCAAAUAAGACUAAUUAACAAGGUCGCUAUGUGAUUAUCUUACAUAUCCAAGAAGAUUAUUGCACUGCUCGAGGUUUGAAAAUCCCCUAUUCCGUUUCCCACUUACAAUCUCUAGUACAAUCACACCAUAACUAAAUACAUCUGAUUUCACUGAGAAAUCCCCAUGGACAGCAUACUCUGGAGAUAUGUAGCCACUGAAUAUGUUGUGUUCAAAGUAAAAUCAGUAGUACAUUAAAAUGCAAUAUCAAAAAACCAUAAUCAUGUAGGAACUGACUUACUAAGUUCCAGCCACUCUAUUUGUGUUUGCCUCGAUUUGGUCCCCCAAAAAGAUUCGAGCCAAGCCAAAGUCUGAUAUUUUCGGCUCCAAAUUUACGUCUAGUAAUAUAUUGCUAGUUUUUAGAUCUCUGUGAAUAAUCCUCACUCUUGAGUCUUGAUGAAGAUAAAGAAGUCCUCGAGCAAUGCUACCAAUAAUAUUGAAACGCCUAAGCCAAUCCAGUGACAUCGUUUUGGUGUCAUC